CUCUGGCCCAAAGCCCCUGCCUAGCAGAGGCUUCUGGCCUGGAACUGUGGGACUGUUUGUGCCUGCAUAAGAGUGGGAAAAUCAGUUUUAUCAUCUUGAAGUCCAAGAGGAACCACUGUGAUCACCAAGUCUGACCUUCUACAUAGCACAAGCCAAAAUCCUUGCUGUCAUCCCAAUCUUUUCUCCAAUGCCCAAUGAAGGGUGUUUGGGCC